UUUCCUACGGGGGGCAGCAGUGAGGAAUAUUGGUCAAUGGUCGGGAGACUGAACCAGCCAAGCCGCGUGAGGGAGGAAGGUACAGAGUAUCGUAAACCUCUUUUGUCAGGGAACAAAGGCGGGGACGUGUCCCCGGAUGAGUGUACCUGAAGAAAAAGCAUCGGCUAACUCCGUGCCAGCAGCCGCGGUAAUACGUAUGGGGCAAGCGUUAUCCGGAUUUACUGGGUGUAAAGGGAGCGUAGGCGGCCUGGCAAGCCUGAUGUGAAAUACCGGGGCCCAACCCCGGGGCUGCAUUGGGAACUGCC
rnacentral:rRNA from 1 species